AUUGAACGCUGGCGGCAUGCCUUACACAUGCAAGUCGAACGGUAACGCGGGGCAACCUGGCGACGAGUGGCGAACGGGUGAGUAAUGUAUCGGAACGUGCCCAGUUGUGGGGGAUAACUGCUCGAAAGAGCAGCUAAUACCGCAUACGACCUGAGGGUGAAAGCGGGGGAUCGCAAGACCUCGCGCAAUUGGAGCGGCCGAUAUCAGAUUAGGUAGUUGGUGGGGUAAAGGCCCACCAAGCCAACGAUCUGUAGCUGGUCUGAGAGGACGACCAGCCACACUGGGACUAAGACACGGCCCAGACUCCUACGGGAGGCAGCAGUGGGGAAUUUUGGACAAGGGACGCAAGUCUGAUCCAGCCAUGCCGCGUGCGGGAAGAAGGCCUUCGGGUUGUAAACCGCUUUUGUCAGGGAAGAAAAGGGCGACUCUAAUACAGUUGCCUCAUGACGGUACCUGAAGAAUAAGCACCGGCUAACUACGUGCCAGCCGCCGCGGUAAAAC
rnacentral:rRNA from 1 species